ensembl:lncRNA
CAGAGAGGUAACAGGGAGCCAGGCCGUGCAGGGCCUCGUAGGCCACUAGAAAUUCUUUGGCUUUUGCUGUACGUGAGAUCUGAAGUCCCCGAAGGCUUGGCUUCUUAGAGGAGUGACAAGUUCUGAAUUGCGUGUUGCUAGGAGCCCUGUGGCUGCUUGGUGGUGAGGAGGCUGGAGUUGGCCUCGGGGUGAAGCAGAGAGACCAGCUAAGAGGGCGCUGCCCAGAAAUCCUGGUGACAGAUGGUGGGCCCUGUGGGUGAAGCCUGUGUGCCCUUGUUGUCCUGCAGAGGGAACAAGCAGGACGAGGAGGAGAACCAGGUGUCAGCGUGAAGAAAAUGAGAGCGCUGGGGAGAACGAAGGCAGGCUGUUUCCUUCAGGUCCACUGGGCGACGGACAGUGAUUGUGGCCUCAAGAUCCAAUCACUCAGAGAGAGGUGCGAGGGAACUCAGCUCCCGGCUUUCUCAGUUGUCCUCUCUUCCUGAAUCCAUCUGUGGUGUCAACCAGUCAUGGAUGCAGGAGACUCUGAAGUUAAGCCCAGCAGCACCACACUGAACAUCCUGAGGAAGAGACCUGAAUACUUAAAGCCCCAAAACCUUGCCUCCAAAAACAUGGUUCUGCAUAAGACAGAUGGGCUCAGAAUCGUCACUGAGGUCUGGGUAAGUGUGGACUCAGCAGCUGAGGCAGCCUGAAGUCACUGUCCACCUGGAGAGCUGGGUCAGAAGAUGGAGGCAGAGACAAAUAUCCCGUGUCUCUGUUUAGCCUUAUUUCAGGUCAGUGGGUAUGAUUUUACCUGAGGCAUUUGCUUUGAGUCUUUACCAAACACUGUGGAAUCGCAUUACCACUGAUCUAGGCAUUCUCAGACAUCACCGGAAGUUCCUGUCCGCGGAGGCGGGCCCAGGGCAGGGGCAGGCGCGGCCAUGGGCGGUACCUGGAGCCUGCGCGGGCUCCGCCCACAAGCCGGUGGCUGCUAGUGCGCAGGCGCCAGAUGGAGUGCACGCAUGGGACAGGGAGGACGCAGAGGCGGGCCUAAUGCCCGCUCGAGGAGGCGGGGUCACAGACUGAGGGGCGGGGCCGGAACCAGAGGGGCGGGGCCGAGGUCCCAAGGCUAGUCUUGGGCGAAAGUCAGGGACCAAGGGAGGAGCCCAGGACGCCUGACUCUAUAUGUUGAGGGUGGAGCCCGUUUCCGGUGGAGAGGGGAGAGUUCCAGUGCUCUGGAGCUGAAGAGUGUGCCUGGUGCGUGCCCUUCCUAGUUCCUCAGAGGACCCUUGGCCUCUGGAUGCCCCUUGUGUGAGGUUGUGAGAACACAUUUUCCUGCUUAUUCAUGCAUCUCUCAGCCAGACAUUGUUGGCACCCAGGCCACACAUAUCUGCCACAUUAAUAGGAAAGCCCAAAAUAUUAGCCAACAUAAUCCAGAGCUGCAUCUUCAAAGAAUGAUGACUAUGGCCAGGAAAUGUAAAGAAGGUUCAAUGUUAAGAACUCUCUUAAUUUGCUAUUUUAAGAGACCAAAAGAGGAUAAUCAUACAGUCAUCUCCAUAGAUGUUAAAAAGAUAAAAAGAGGGGUUAUAUGAUUUUACAACAGGAAUUUGCUUUUAGUCUACUAUCAACACCAAAAUCAAAUUACCGCUCUGAUCAUUACAUCACUUUCUCUAACAUCAUAAUCACUUAUAUGCACAUAAUGCACCACUUGAUUAGGGCGAUGACACUCCAAUUUCUUUAAUAAUUCAUGUGUUUUAUGAGGUAAUGCUGCAGGUCAGCCCCUCUAGUUGCCCACGACAGCUCGGCCCAAAGACGCUGUGGCUCCUGUUGUUCCCAUUUAAAAUACGUAAUUGAAUAAUGACUUUAGAGUUGGAAUUUUAAGUAGAGCUCUUACUAGGUUUAUCUAUUGUUUAUAUAUUGGAACACUUACGGGAAACUUAGUUUCUCUGAUUUCAUAGGUUUACUCUGUUAAAUAGAAUUAUUUAUUAUUUGUGAAGGGUUUAUUUAUUAAGACUUUGUGUUUUCUUCCUCCCAAAUCUCCUUUCCCUCUCUUCCUUAUUUUGGUAAAUGGCAAUUCUUUCCUUCCUAUUCUUCAAGCCAAACACCUUUGUGUCCUCCUUGACUCCUCUGUUUCCUUCAUGCCCCACAUUAACUCCAUCAGCAAAUCCUCAGCUCUAUGUUCAACAAGAACCUGAAUGUGACCAGGUCAUUGCACCUCCACUGUUACUGCACUUGUCAAACCCUCCAUUACCACUCUCCUGGAUUAUUCUAAUAGGCUCCUAACUAGGCUUUCUACUUCUUCCUUACUCUACGCAGUCACUUCUUGUACACAUCUUUUGUUGAACAUCUGUACACAUUUCUGUCAGCUAAAGAACUUGCUGGGUCACAAGUCAAGGUGAUGUCCAAAGACUACAAAAGCAUGAGUUGAAACCCUCCAAAAAUGUACCCUCCUUCUGUCCCCUAGCGCAAGCUCCCUGCCUAAGGAGAGGGAGUGAGAGCACUCUGUUCCUUCUUCUCCAUCACUUGGGAGAAGGGGCUGUGAAGAAAGGGACAUGGUGCCCUCUUUUUCCUGUGGGUCUCAGGAUCCCUCUAGCUGGGAAGAAAAAAGAUUUUUAAAAAGUUUGUGUUCUGUCGUACAAAGAAACAGAAGGAAACUUGAACUUUAAAUUAUCCCAUCUGUCACUUUCCAUUGAUUGAGUCUUGCUCAUUAAGAUAAAUUCCAAGCUAGAAUAUAAUUUUUUAUGUUUUGCCUUUUGAGCUCUCCAGAAUGUAUGCCUUUCAGCUACCUCGGUUUCUUUCUUUUUUUUUCAUUCUUUCUUUCUUUUGCUCUCCCCCCCCCCCCAUAUUGCCAGCUGCCAAGGAGGAAUGGGGCACUCUAUCUCAUGGUGUUUCCCUUCUUAUUUGAGUUCUUCUGCAGUUCAACACCUGACAUCCACCUGCAGAGAUGCCCAAGCAAAGUCAGACACCCCCUUUUCUCUCUCUUGCGUGCCGUGUUGGUACAAGAAGGGUGUGCGGCUUCUCUGGGACAGAAGAGAACCCAAAUUGAGCUCUACUGUUAACUAGCUGUGGGAUCCUGGAGGAGUCGUUUACCCUGAUUCUUAGCUUCCACGUCUGUUGAAGGGGAGAUGCUCAUGAAGAGGACAGGAUGGCUAGGUUUUGGUAUCAAGCUUAUGCUGGCCUCAUCAAUGAGGUGAGGAGUGCUCCCUCCUACUCUACUUCCUGAAAGAGAUUAUGUCUAUUGGAAUCAACCAAUCCUUCACUGUUUGGCAGAACUUACUUAUAAAACCAUCUGAGCUUGUUUACUUUAUCAGAAAUUUUUUAACUAACUGACUCAAUGAUUAGAAGACUAUUAAAGCUUUCUGUUUAUUUCUUGACCUAUUUGAUAAAUUAGAUUUUUCUAGGGAAGUGUUUAUUUUAUCUGAAUAAAUAUAUUCAUCCAGCAAAAAUGAAUUGAAUAGC